rnacentral:tRNA from 1 species
CAGGGAGACAACAAAAUGUUAAAUAUUAAUUUUGUCACCUUAGGUCGAUCGGUAUCUCAGGUUCUUAAUUACUUUAAGAAUUUCAUUUCCUAAGUUUUUUCUAGGUCACACCCAUUACUUUCCCUGGGCCAUUGGCUCAGGUGGUUAGAGCGCACCCCUGAUAAGGGUGAGGUCCCUGGUUCAAGUCCAGGAUGGCCCAUAUCCCUAUGUUGGGGGUAUAGCUCAGUUGGUAGAGCGCCUGCUUUGCAAGCAGGAUGUCAGCGGUUCGAGUCCGCUUACCUCCACUGAUUACCACCUCUUCCAUGAAUUUAAAGAAGGGAAUAGUUAUGAGCGUUGAUUUACUUCUGAACGAAUCUAGCUUCCUAAUAAAUACAUUAAGAUGCUGGACUCAUUGAAUUUUAUUCAUUGUUUUCAGAGAACCUUGACAACUGCAUAGAUUAUUUUUAAAGACAAUAAGCAUCUUUAAUGAUGCAGAUUUAUUAUUUGUGCUAAUGCAUUAAUAACAAUUCUAUUGAGCUGAUGCUUCAAUUAUUUGAAGUUAUU